AUCAAGAGGUCAUAAUUAUAGAUGGUUUGAGUUUGAAUGUGUUUUUCCAGGGAAAGGGACGCAGACUGUACCUGCAGAGACGAGGACACAUUAAACCUGAAGAGAGGUUUGCCUUUCCGGUGCUCUCCUCCUGGGAGUACGGCUGGAGGCUCGGCGACUACACCCUGGACUACAAAACCCCGUCCAGCGCCAAGUCCUCGGUGGUGAAGAACACUUUCUACGCCAAGAAUGGAGUCUUCAGUGGUUCAGCAGAAACCAACGAGAUGGUCUGAAGAGCAGCUGUCGGACUGCAGAGCCUGAUCUUAAAAGUAUUAUCUAUUUAUAAUCGAGUUGUCACGUUUAACCUAUUUCCAGUCUGUGUACGUCAUCAGUUCAUCUUUCGUCCUUCAGCUUCUGUUCAAGCUCUCCUCCCUCUUUGUAAACAUUUCUUUGCAUAAAACUCUUGUAAUUUGA